rnacentral:rRNA from 1 species
UACGGGGGGGGCAAGCGUUGUUCGGAAUUACUGGGCGUAAAGGGCUCGUAGGUGGCCAAUUAAGUCAGACGUGAAAUCCCCAGGCUUAACCUGGGAACUGCGUCUGAUACUGGUUGGCUUGAAUUCGGGAGAGGGAUGCAGAAUUCCAGGUGUAGCGGUGAAAUGCGUAGAUAUCUGGAGGAAUACCGGUGGCGAAGGCGGCAUCCUGGACCGAUACUGACGCUGAGGAGCGAAAGCCAGGGGAGCAAACAGG